AUUAAAUUGAAAUAGCCAGUGCUAGGGUUUUUCUAUUCAACAUAAAGCCGCCGUUACCUCUUCCAUUAUUAGGUUUACGAAAAAUUGUGUAUAUAUACGCGUGUGCGCAGAGCACAAUCUCGUGUGUUCAACGCCAAGAAAACUACUGAUUAGAGGAUUUGAGGAGAAUUAGAGAUGGCUUUAUCUUUCAUGAGGCAGACAGUAAGUUAUUUUCCGAAUCGUAAUUUAUGAAAAUUUUCAAUUUUGAAGGUAGAAAUUUGAGAGUUUUGGGAAGUGAUGAUAAUCUAUAUCUAUGUAUAUCAGAGGCUCAGCCCGUCUGUGCAUUGCUGAACAGAUAUUUUGCACGUCAGUCUGAUCCCAAACUCUCAAUAUCGAGGUGUAAAGUUUUGAUAAAUCUGGAAUGGAUUCAAUUGCACCAUGAAAUUUGGACUUAAAAUAUCGAAUUAAAUGUUUGGUAAAGCAGGAAAAAAAAAGCACUUGUUUUUAUGCAGAAUUACUCUAAACUGGCUGACGAGUGCGAAUUUUGUGGAAUUUAAGUUGCUUAUUGAACUUAACUUUGGAUUAACAUGGUGGAUUCAACUAACAGUGUUGAUUCAAUUUUAGAGGUUGGAUGCAUAGAUUGCUGCAGCUGGUCGGAUUUUUGUUGUGCAUUGAGAUUCAAGUUCUGGUUAAUAAUUGUUUCCUAAGAAGAAAUAAUCACAGAACUUAAAUCUCUAUAAACGGUGACUCCUUGUAAUUUGGUGUUAUCGAAGAACUGUUUUUUGCAAAAUUGUACAAAUUAUUAUUAGAAAACAUCAAACUACAAUGUGUAAUUGGAGCCUUAACGAAUCACGUUUGUUAUAUAAUCGAAUAGAUUUUGAUAUCGCGAAUUAAAAUACAGUCCAUGUUUGAAUUUUAUUAUUUCAAAACUUAUUUUUUCAAAAAUUGCUAUUAUAAGAUUUAUAUUUUAAACAAAAUGGGGAUUAAACGAAG
rnacentral:lncRNA from 1 species